GUCGCUGUGGCCGAGUGGUUAAGGCGAUUGACUAGAAUUCUCCUUUCUAGACUAUCAAUUCCUUUCGGGGGCAUAGGUUCGAGUCCUAUCGGCGACG
rnacentral:tRNA from 1 species